CUUUUUCUUAGUUUUUUAACUAAAAUGGUUUGGCAGCAAGUGAAUCCGUUCAGGGGAAGGUGUCAAGUAAAAGAUGGUCCGCUUAAUAAUUUACUCUUUUUAUGUUGGUGUAUAUCUGGUUUAAUAUUGUUGUUUAAUGAUUUUUAAUUUGUGUAUUAUUAAUUUAAGCUAAGUCUAUGUGCUGCUUAUUAGAGUUUUGAUGCGUUACACUUAUAUAGUAAUAUGUGUAUAGAUAUUAUUUGUUUAGGACUUGAUAGUAAUAUUUAAUUUAGUUUGUUAAUGUGAAUAGGGUUUAACUUG
rnacentral:rRNA from 1 species